rnacentral:rRNA from 1 species
GGUUAAGCGACUAAGCGUACACGGUGGAUGCCCUGGCAGUCAGAGGCGAUGAAGGACGUGCUAAUCUGCGAAAAGCGUCGGUAAGGUGAUAUGAACCGUUACAGCCGGCGAUGUCCGAAUGGGGAAACCCAGUGUGAUUCGUCACACUAUCGUUAACUGAAUACAUAGGUUAACGAGGCGAACCGGGGGAACUGAAACAUCUAAGUACCCCGAGGAAAAGAAAUCAACCGAGAUUCCCCCAGUAGCGGCGAGCGAACGGGGAGCAGCCCAGAGUCUGAAUCAGCUUGUGUGUUAGUGGAACGGUCUGGAAAGUCCGACGGUACAGGGUGAUAGUCCCGUACACCAAAAUGCACAGGUUGUGAACUCGAAGAGUAGGGCGGGACACGUGGUAUCCUGUCUGAAUAUGGGGGGACCAUCCUCCAAGGCUAAAUACUCCUGACUGACCGAUAGUGAACCAGUACCGUGAGGGAAAGGCGAAAAGAACCCCGGCGAGGGGAGUGAAAAAGAACCUGAAACCGUGUACGUACAAGCAGUGGGAGCACCUUCGGGUGUGACUGCGUACCUUUUGUAUAAUGGGUCAGCGACUUAUAUUCUGUAGCAAGGUUAACCGUAUAGGGGAGCCGCAGGGAAACCGAGUCUUAACUGGGCGUUAAGUUGCAGGGUAUAGACCCGAAACCCGGUGAUCUAGCCAUGGGCAGGUUGAAGGUUGGGUAACACUAACUGGAGGACCGAACCGACUAAUGUUGAAAAAUUAGCGGAUGACUUGUGGCUGGGGGUGAAAGGCCAAUCAAACCGGGAGAUAGCUGGUUCUCCCCGAAAGCUAUUUAGGUAGCGCCUCGUGAACUCAUCUUCGGGGGUAGAGCACUGUUUCGGCUAGGGGGUCAUCCCGACUUACCAACCCGAUGCAAACUACGAAUACCGAAGAAUGUUAUCACGGGAGACACACGGCGGGUGCUAACGUCCGUCGUGAAGAGGGAAACAACCCAGACCGCCAGCUAAGGUCCCAAAGUCAUGGUUAAGUGGGAAACGAUGUGGGAAGGCACAGACAGCCAGGAUGUUGGCUUAGAAGCAGCCAUCAUUUAAAGAAAGCGUAAUAGCUCACUGGUCGAGUCGGCCUGCGCGGAAGAUGUAACGGGGCUAAACCAUGCACCGAAGCUGCGGCAGCGACACUAUGUGUUGUUGGGUAGGGGAGCGUUCUGUAAGCCUGCGAAGGUGGCCUGUGAGGG